GACGAACGCCGUCGGCGUGCUUACACAUGCAAGUCGAACGGAAAGGCCCUGCUUUUGUGGGGUGCUCGAGUGGCGAACGGGUGAGUAACACGUGAGUAACCUGCCCUUGACUUUGGGAUAACUUCAGGAAACUGGGGCUAAUACCGGAUAGGAGCUCCUGCUGCAUGGUGGGGGUUGGAAAGUUUCGGCGGUUGGGGAUGGACUCGCGGCUUAUCAGCUUGUUGGUGGGGUAGUGGCUUACCAAGGCUUUGACGGGUAGCCGGCCUGAGAGGGUGACCGGCCACAUUGGGACUGAGAUACGGCCCAGACUCCUACGGGAGGCAGCAGUGGGGAAUAUUGCACAAUGGGCGGAAGCCUGAUGCAGCAACGCCGCGUGCGGGAUGACGGCCUUCGGGUUGUAAACCGCUUUCGCCUGUGACGAAGCGUGAGUGACGGUAAUGGGUAAAGAAGCACCGGCUAACUACGUGCCAGCAGCCGCGGUGAUACGUAGGGUGCGAGCGUUGUCCGGAUUUAUUGGGCGUAAAGGGCUCGUAGGUGGUUGAUCGCGUCGGAAGUGUAAUCUUGGGGCUUAACCCUGAGCGUGCUUUCGAUACGGGUUGACUUGAGGAAGGUAGGGGAGAAUGGAAUUCCUGGUGGAGCGGUGGAAUGCGCAGAUAUCAGGAGGAACACCAGUGGCGAAGGCGGUUCUCUGGGCCUUUCCUGACGCUGAGGAGCGAAAGCGUGGGGAGCGAACAGGCUUAGAUACCCUGGUAGUCCACGCUGUAAACGGUGGGUACUAGGUGUGGGGUCCAUUCCACGGGUUCCGUGCCGUAGCUAACGCUUUAAGUACCCCGCCUGGGGAGUACGGCCGCAAGGCUAAAACUCAAAGGAAUUGACGGGGCCCCGCACAAGCGGCGGAGCAUGCGGAUUAAUUCGAUGCAACGCGUAGAACCUUACCUGGGUUUGACAUGGAUCGGGAGUGCUCAGAGAUGGGUGUGCCUCUUUUGGGGUCGGUUCACAGGUGGUGCAUGCCUGUCGUCAGCUCGUGUCGUGAGAUGUUGGGUUAAGUCCCGCAACGAGCGCAACCCUUGUUCACUGUUGCCAGCACGUUAUGGUGGGGACUCAGUGGAGACCGCCGGGGUCAACUCGGAGGAAGGUGGGGAUGACGUCAAGUCAUCAUGCCCCUUAUGUCCAGGGCUUCACGCAUGCUACAAUGGCUGGUACAGAGAGUGGCGAGCCUGUGAGGGUGAGCGAAUCUCGGAAAGCCGGUCUCAGUUCGGAUUGGGGUCUGCAACUCGACCUCAUGAAGUCGGAGUCGCUAGUAAUCGCAGAUCAGCAACGCUGCGGUGAAUACGUUCCCGGGGCU
rnacentral:rRNA from 1 species